rnacentral:rRNA from 1 species
AAAUAACGGUGGGAGACCGAUAGCGAACAAGUACCGUGAGGGAAAGAUGAAAAGCACUUUGAAAAGAGGGUGAAAAGAACCUGAAACCGUUACGGGGGAAGCGGAUUGCAUUAUUCUAGUUUUAACGUGUUCAACCUUUUAGGUGCAUUGACGUUAAAACUUAUCUGCUGUGGAUUUUUGAUAAUUGAAAAUGAAUUAUUAAAGAUUGAGGGCUCCACUUUGUGUGAGGACAGCGGAUUGACGAUGCGAUACGACCCGUCUUGAAACACGGACCAAGGAGUCUAGCGCGGGUGCGAGUCGGAAGGUGUAAAAACCUGUGGGCGAAGUGAAAGCGAGAUAAAACUCUCAGUUUGAGGCGGCAUAUUUUCGUUGAAAAUAGGUCCGACCUUGAGCAGUUGCGCUGGGACCCGAAAGAUGGUGAACUAUGCCGGAGUAGGGCAAAGCCAGAGGAAACUCUGGUGGAGGC